rnacentral:rRNA from 1 species
AUUUCGGUCCUAUUACGUUGGCCUUUGGGAUCAGAGUAAUGAUUAAUAGGUACAAUCGGAGACAAUCGUAUUUCAUAGUCAGUGAUGAAAUUCUUGGGUUUAUGAAAGAUGAACAACUGCAAAAGCAUUUGCCAAAGAUGUUUUCAUUAAUCAAGAACGAAAGUUGGGGCUCAAAGAUGAUCAGAUAUCAUCCUAGUCUCAACCAUAAAUGAUGCCGACUAGGGAUCGACGGAUGUUGCUUAUAGGACUCCGCUGGCACCUUAUGAAAAAUCAAAGUUUUUAGGUUUCAAGGGGAGUAUGGUCACAAAGCUGAAACUUACCAGGUCCAGACAUAGUUAGGAUCGACAGACUACGAGCUCUUUCU